rnacentral:rRNA from 1 species
UACGGAGGGGGCUAGCGUUGUUCGGAAUUACUGGGCGUAAAGGGCGCGUAGGUGGUUUAUUAAGUCAGAUGUGAAAUACCUGGGCUUAACCUAGGAACUGCAUUUGAAACUAAUUGGCUAGAGUGUGGGAGAGGGAAGUGGAAUUUCCGGUGUAGCGGUGAAAUGCGUAGAUAUCGGAAGGAACACCAGUGGCGAAGGCGACUUCCUGGCCCAUUACUGACACUGAGGCGCGAAAGCGUGGGGAGCGAACAGG